GUCGGUGGUCAGUAUUAUGGUAAGCUUAAUUCAGCUGAUAGAGAUAUUACAACACAAUAUCUUGGUUAUUGGACAGAUGAUGGUGCGUUUUAUUCAAGUUCCCCAGAACCAGAUAAAACGUAUGCAGACACAAUAGUUGAAAUACAACAACACGCAAAGACGGUAACCAAAGUGCCCUAUACAUAUUUUCAGCUUGAUUCCUGGUGGUGUAUAAAAAAUGGCAGUAAAAUAAAAGAUUGGAAAGCGGAGCCCACAGCACUACCUCAAGGAAUGAAAGGGUUAGAAAAAGCUACAAAUUCAAAGUUCAUGAUGUAUAGUGGAGUAUGGUCUGGUGAUAAUGUUUAUGCCGAGAAGAAUGGUGGAAGUUAUGGUUUCAUUAUAGAGGGUGAUACAGCUCUCCCCUUUGAUCAGG